AGAUGGCGACCGGCGCACGGGUGAGUAACACGUAUCCAACCUGCCGAUAACUCGGGGAUAGCCUUUCGAAAGAAAGAUUAAUACCCGAUGGUAUAAUCAGACCGCAUGGUUUGAUUAUUAAAGAAUUUCGGUUAUCGAUGGGGAUGCGUUCCAUUAGGCAGUUGGUGAGGUAACGGCUCACCAAACCUUCGAUGGAUAGGGGUUCUGAGAGGAAGGUCCCCCACAUUGGAACUGUGACACGGUCCAA
rnacentral:rRNA from 1 species